rnacentral:rRNA from 1 species
AUGACGAAGGGAACGGGCAGCUUCGGCAAGCGCCGGAACAAGACCCACACGCUGUGCAUCCGCUGUGGCCGCCGCAGCUUCCACCUGCAGAAGAGCACCUGCUCCUCGUGUGGCUACCCCGCCGGCUGCAUCCGCAAGUGUAAGUCCCGCCGCCAGAUCCCCUUCCCCUAUCUUAGCAUGCGAUUCGAGUCCUUCUGCCUAGCUGCUUUAGGCAGAUGUGGUGCUUGGUUCCUGCGCGAGGCCGUGAUUUCUGAGGGUUUCGAUGUUGUUGUGGUAGCCCCAUCGCUGUUGCCUUGA